GUCACUGCAUGCCUCUUCCUCUUUUGGUCCGUGUUUCUAUCAGAGAUGUCACCAAGAAGAUUCAUGAAGGAAAUGUAAAAUCAGCAAUUGAAGAUACAUGUAGUUAUCUGAGAAGCAAGAAGAGUGGAGUUAGGACGAUUUCAGAACUGACUCCUGUUAGAUGACCACAUGCCUCUCUGCACUCCUGCGUUUAGUCAACACAGUAACCAGCAGAACUGUACCUGGAAGGACUGGGAGCAAAGAGCUAUCUCUGGAAAACCAUUAGCUUUUAAGUGUAGAUGGUUAGAUCAGAAAUGGAGUGAGUGGGAAAAAAUGCAAAUAUAUCUUCAUCAUUUAUGAUCCUUUUAUUGCCAUGCUAUGAAGAAGCCUAAUGUAGCCUACUAAAGAUGAAAGGCUCUGCAGGAUGCGAGAAGAAUAGAGGUGCCCCAGUGACAGCCAGCACCAUGUUCCAGAGGCCAUCUUGCACCUGCAGAUCCAGGGGAGACAUCAGAUGACUGUAGCCACGUGAGUGAAUCCAGACAAGACUAGUAGAAGAAACUCCCAGCCAACCUACACAAUUUUCGAAAACCAUAAAUUGUGGUUUUAAGCCACUGAGUUUUAGGAUAGUUGGUUAUAUGACAAUAGAUGCCUGAAACAGCACAUAUGAUAAUAUUACUCUUCAUUUAUCCAUUCGACUAUAGUGGACAUUUGGGUUGUUUCCAGUUUUUGGCUGUUAGAAAUAGUUUUGCUAUGAUAUGUUUUAGGAACCAUGUAUAUGCAUAUAUAUAUAUGUGGAAUAUAGACCUAGAACUGGAAUUGAUAGGUCAGUAUUAGUAGAUACUGCCAAAGCGUUUUCCAAAGUGACUGUACCAAUUUAUACUCCCAUCAGCAAUGUAAGAGAGUUCUAAUUGCUCCACGUCCUUGUUAAUCCUUGGCAAUGUCUAUUUUCAUUUUAGUCAUUCUAGUAUGUCGGUAGUAGUAUCUCACAGUAGAUUUAAUUUGAAUUUCUCUAAUGACUGAAGAAAUUGAUCACUUUUUUAUAUGUUUAUUGGCCCUUGGGAUAUCAUUUUCAAAAAAGGUAUUUGGUUAAACUUUGUUCCCCAUGUUAUUAUGGGGUUGUCUGUCUUUUUCUUACUGAUUUGUAGACUUUCUUUAUACAUUCUGGAU